CCUACGGGGGGCAGCAGUGAGGAAUAUUGGUCAAUGGGCGUAAGCCUGAACCAGCCAAGUCGCGUGAGGGAUGAAGGUUCUAUGGAUCGUAAACCUCUUUUAUAAGGGAAUAAAGUGUGGGACGUGUCCUAUUUUGUAUGUACCUUAUGAAUAAGGAUCGGCUAACUCCGUGCCAGCAGCCGCGGUAAUACGGAGGAUCCGAGCGUUAUCCGGAUUUAUUGGGUUUAAAGGGUGCGUAGGCGGCCUGUUAAGUGCGCGGUGAAAGUCUGUGGCUCAACCAUCGAAUUGCCGUUGAAACUGGGGGGCUUGAGUAUGUUAGAGGCAGAGGGAAUGCGUGGUGUAGCGGUGAAAUGCUUAGAUAUCACGCAGAACCCCGAUUGCGAAGGCAGCCUGCCAAGCCAUGACUGACGCUGAUGCACGAAAGCGUGGGGAUCAAACAGGAUUAGAUACCCUAGUAGUC
rnacentral:rRNA from 1 species